AACGAACGCUGGCGGCAUGCUUAACACAUGCAAGUCGAACGGUGCUUUCGGGCACAGUGGCGCACGGGUGAGUAUCGCGUGGGAACCUGCCUUGGAGUACGGAAUAACCGCGGGAAACUGCGGCUAAUACCGUAUAUUGCCUUCGGUGAAGAUUAUCGCUCAGAGGGCCCGCGUCCGAUUAGCUAGUUGGUGAGGUAACGGCUCACCAAGGCGACGAUCGGUAGCUGGUCNGAGAGGAUGAUCAGCCACACUGGGACUGAGACACGGCCCA
rnacentral:rRNA from 1 species